UGGAAAUAGACCUCUGAGGUUGUUGGUAAAUGUUGAGAACAAAGAUGGGUUGAAGAUGACGACUGCAGGUUCUGCCGGUCGGCACAAGGCGCUGGGAGAUUUGUUUUGGGGAGAGGGCGACUGUUUGGGAAUAUUUUGAAAAGUAGCAAGAGUUAUGUCGCGGAGGGAGCUACUUGAUGCACGCAAGUCUUUGAGGAGUGUUCGGGGAGGACCAAGAAGCAAGAAACAGAGAGACUCUGAGACCACAGAGGAUGAGACCACAGAGCCUCAGAUGGAAACCAAAGAAGGCCCUGGGCGAUCCCAAGACAAGGCCGGUAGAAGAGGGCCCUCAGGUAUAUCCUAAAAAAAAAAAAAAAACUUUUCCUGUUUGUAUUCAUCAACUAUUAUCACCUAAAGCAUUACUUUGAAACCCGUUGCCCCGAGCGUA
rnacentral:lncRNA from 1 species